rnacentral:lncRNA from 10 species
AUUUUUGCAAGGAACCUUGUGGACUGAAAAAACAGCCAAAACAAAUCUGCCACAUACAGGCCCCAGAAUGUGGUUUUAUAAUCUGUCCACUUAGGAAACUGUUCCAAUUAUCUUCACAAAUUCAGUAUUGUGAGAAUGUGUCUAGGUGUUAAUUAUCAUUUUAGAAGGAAGUCAGCUCUCCUACACAGCUAAGAAUGCUAACAGUCUCCAAUUUUAACUUGUUCUCUUAUACAAGAUGCUGUUUUGGGAAGUAUUUAGUUGCCCCCUGCUGGCCAUACAAUUGCAGGAUUCAUUUUUUAAAAAGUUCUCAGUAGAUUGCAGAUGAUAAUGAUAAACUUCUGAAGAGAUGCAUUCAACUUUUUCAUCAGAUGAAUUCACAAUAGACUUCCAAUGCUCAAUUGAGAUACGUAAGUUAAUAAAAAAAAUUUUUUUCCCCACCACCUGGUAUAGGGUGAAAUGUUCCAGCAGGAAGACUUUAAGCUAGAUCAGUGGGAGAACAGGAUGAGAUGUAGGAGGAGUGACUGAGGGGCUUCACAGGCUCCCUUUCUUCUUUAACUUUUGUUUUAGGUUGAGGAGUACAUGUGCACGUUUGUUAUAUAGGUAAACUCAUGUCAUGGGG